rnacentral:rRNA from 1 species
UACGUAGGGCGCAAGCGUUGUCCGGAAUUAUUGGGCGUAAAGAGCUCGUAGGCGGCCAGUUGCGUCCGCUGUGAAAUCCCGGGGCUUAACCCCGGGCGUGCAGUGGAUACGGGCUGGCUAGAGGCAGGCAGGGGAGAACGGAAUUCCCGGUGUAGCGGUGAAAUGCGCAGAUAUCGGGAGGAACACCGGUGGCGAAGGCAGGUCUCUGGGCUGACACUGACGCUCAUGCACGAAAGCGUGGGGAGCAAACAGG